UUAAGUUCCAAAUUUUGAUCUUUCACAUUUGUACGCAAGAAAAUUCAUUUAGAAAAAAAAAACACUUAUUUUACUUUUGUGAGAGAAAAAAUAAAAGACAAAAGAUUAAAACUGCUACACCUCUUCCCCCACGAUCUCCACUUCCUCUUAUUUCGCUCAGUUAUGGAACACCAAGCUGAUUUCAUACAAAAAGCUCCCAAUUUCUUUUUGUUCUCAUCUCUUUUUCAGCUUCCUUCAAAUCGGGUUCAUAAUCGAUACUUCAUUUUCCAGAUAUGCCGCUCGAUAUUACGCCUAUUUCCCAAUUAACCCUAGCAUCAGAUCCAUGUAAAAUCAAUGUUCGAAUUGUUCGUCUUUGGGGAUUUCCAAAAAAAGAUAAACCAGAUGAGUUUUCAGGAAUCGAUCUUCUCCUUGUGGACGAAAAUGGAAGUAGGAUUCAAGCUUCUAAAAGGAAAAUUGCUCUCAAAAUUUCAGAAGGACUUAAAAAGAAGGGGAUUGUUGUUCUGUUAUAAACUUUGAAUUAUGCCCGAAUCUUGGAAAUUUUUGAACUUGCGACCAUCCUUACAAGAUCAAUUUCAUUUUCUACACAUGUGUUAAACCAAGCGAGGAGAUUCCUUCAUCUGAUCAGGAAUUAAUUUUUACAAUGUUUGGGAGCAGUUUCGUAGUGGCCGUGAUCAGGAAUUGAUCAGUUUGAGACAUGGAAUGGUGCUUCCUUCAUCUGAUGACUCAGAGGAGUUAAGUUGUGACUCAGAGGAGUAGAAAAAAGAUAAGAAGAAUCAUAUUAGAAGAUAAAGAUGAUAAUUUGACGAAGGAAGACAAAGACAUAUUAUUUAUUUCUUUUUAAAUGUUAAUUUAAAGUUAAAAUUCACCAUUUUUAAUUAGGCUGUGCAACGACACGGGCCAUGACACUAGUAUAGCAUAAGAACAAAGGGGACACUUGUUGUAUUACCUACCAUAUUAUUCCUCAGUAGAACCCUAAAUAAAUAAACCCCUCACAUUCUUCUUCUGUACGAUGGCGGAACAUCUGACGAGAGGAGCAAUCGAGAAGAUGCUUAAUGGAGAAGUGAAUAGCGAGAGAGAAAUGAUGCCGGUGCUUCAAGCGACGCAACUGAGGCUUCUCCGGCGCAAUGAUAAUCCGCAAGAGGAUAAGAUUAGGGUUGUUUUGUCUGAUGGAACGUGGUUGCUACAGGGAAUACUCGGGACUCAUCUGAGCGGACGCGUGAAAGAAGGGUUACUUCGAAUUGGUGACAUUGUUCGGCUCACUCAUUUCAUCUGUCCGGUGAUUGUCACCGACGAACGAAGCGACGAUAUUGUUGUUGUGAAUUUGGAGGUGGUAUCAUUAGCCCAGUCUGAUAUAAUUGGACACACUCUUCUUCUUGAAGUUAAGCCUAAAGAUGAACAACUAUAUCAGCAGCUGACGUCUUCUUCUGAUGAAGCUAGCUAUGUCAUUUGAUGGGUUGCCUCUAGGUGAGGAUACAUUAGGAGACGAUACCAUUGUUCCCGAUUCCCAAGAGAGCGAAGUUCGAUAUCUGAACUUAAAGGAGACCGUUUCUAAAGAAUUGAAGUGCUUCCGCGAGCACCUCGUUGGUGCUAAACGUUUCAUCUAGGACACCAGGAACACAAAAGAUCAGAUCCGGGCCUCCAUCAGGUGUUUCAAGACGUUGAUAGAUAAUUUUUACAAUGUUUGGGAGCAGUUUCGUAGUGGCUGUGAUCAGGAAUUGAUCAGUUUGAGACAUGGAAUGGUGCUUCCUUCAUCUCAUGACUCAGAGGAUUAAGUUGUGAUCAACUUCGCUUAAAUAUGCUCAUACUCUCUUCAAUUCUCGAGGGAGAAGACUUUAAAUUCUUUUGUGGAAGCUUUCGCUCCUUUUGUUACAAUACGCAAAGAGUCCGCUAGUACUAUGGAUGCUCUCACGGAAAUCCAACAUGUUGUGGAAGAUAGUGAUACUUUGAUUUAUAGGGUCACACACGAAGGCUUCGACGGCAGGUACAUCUCAGCGGAAGAUGAAGCUGAUGAUAUUGAGUGGUAAAAUGGUGGAACGAUGCUAGCUCUUACUUCUGAUGUCAAAUGUCAAAUGUUGAGGUAACGUCUAUCUUUUCCUUAAUUAUUGCUUAAAAUAGUAUAUGUAUGGAUCCACCUGCAAGCUUUAGCUUCUUCAUAUAACAUUCUCUCCCCGUAUUAGUUUA